rnacentral:rRNA from 1 species
UACGGGGGGGGCAAGCGUUGUUCGGAAUUACUGGGCGUAAAGGGCUCGUAGGCGGCCAACUAAGUCAAACGUGAAAUCCCUCGGCUUAACCGGGGAACUGCGUCUGAUACUGGAUGGCUUGAGUUUGGGAGAGGGAUGCGGAAUUCCAGGUGUAGCGGUGAAAUGCGUAGAUAUCUGGAGGAACACCGGUGGCGAAGGCGGCAUCCUGGACCGAAACUGACGCUGAUGCGCGAAAGCUAGGGGAGCAAACGGG